GCAUAGAGAUGGAUAGACAGAUAAGCACAGAGAUAGACAGACAGAAAGACAGUCAGUCAACCUACAGAAGGUCUAAGAAUCUAGUAACUGUUCAGUCCACAAGGCUGGAUGUCUCAGCAGGUCUUUAGUAUACACCAGAAUUCUGAAGAGGUAGGCUCUAAUACCAGUGAAGGAAUGCACUUGCCAUCAAGAGUAAGCAGGCAAAGAGCGAAAGCUUCUUCCAUGUGCUAUAUAAAAUGUACUAGAAGUUGUGGCCCAGAUCAAAGGUAGAUUUUCCCACCUCAAAAAAUGUGGAUUAAAGGUGCAUCUUCACACACUUCAUCUAAAAAAUCAGGUAACACAUACCAGGUAACAGCUGCAUUUACUUCAGCUCUGAGACAGACUGAGGGCAGCAGGGCUACAAUCUUUUACUUUGCUUCUAAGAAUCUCGCACUGCCAAGAUAAAUUAUUAAUCGAUGACCAGCCACUUCAAUUGUCCAAUAUGAUUUGUGCUUAUUCAAAGUCUACCUUUUUUCAAAUCAUCACCCAACCUUCCUUCCACCCAAAACCUCACCUCUGCAAAACCUCCCCUACUUCUUCUAGAUUUCAAAAGCUGCCAGCUGUCUGACCUCCUGCUAUGGUUUGAAUGCUUGAAUCCCUCUCCAAAUCUCAUGACAAAACCUUAAAUCUUAUGACGUGAGCUCUGAGCUUCCUGCUCCGGAUGCUAUGCCUGCUGCUGCCAUGCUUCCCAGUGGACUCUUAAUCUUCUGGAACAGAAGCCCAUAUACUCCCUUUCUCCUCAAGAGAGACAGAUCCAACAAGAUAGUUGAGUAAAUUUUGUUUGCUACCAUGUCUGACAACUCGAGUUCCAUCCCUGGGAUCCACAUGAUGGUGGAAGGAGCAAAGGUACUAAAAAUAAGAUACUUUCCACUAAAUCCUCAAGGGCAAGGACUCUGCUUUAUGUCCAGAAUAUUGGCCACAUAGUAGGUAUUCACCCACUAAAUAAAUCACACAAUCAAGCUACCUUA